UCCGUAGGCGGGCAGCUCAGUCAGUGGUGAAAGUUUGCAGCUCAACUGUAAAAUUGCCAUUGAUACUGGUUGUCUUGAAUUAAUGUGAAGUGGUUAGAAUAAGUAGUGUAGCGGUGAAAUGCAUAGAUAUUACUUAGAAUACCAAUUGCGAAGGCAGAUCACUAACAUUAUAUUGACGCUGAUGGACGAAAGCGUGGGGAGCGAACAGGAUUAGAUACCCUGGUAGUCC
rnacentral:rRNA from 1 species